AUUGAACGCUGGCGGCAGGCCUAACACAUGCAAGUCGAGCGGAUGAAGGGAGCUUGCUCCUGGAUUCAGCGGCGGACGGGUGAGUAAUGCCUAGGAAUCUGCCUGGUAGUGGGGGAUAACGUCCGGAAACGGGCGCUAAUACCGCAUACGUCCUGAGGGAGAAAGUGGGGGAUCUUCGGACCUCACGCUAUCAGAUGAGCCUAGGUCGGAUUAGCUAGUUGGUGGGGUAAAGGCCUACCAAGGCGACGAUCCGUAACUGGUCUGAGAGGAUGAUCAGUCACACUGGAGCUGAGACACGGUCCAGACUCCUACGGGAGGCAGCAGUGGGGAAUAUUGGACAAAGGGCGAAAGCCUGAUCCAGCCAUGCCGCGUGUGUGAAGAAGGUCUUCGGAUUGUAAAGCACUUUAAGUUGGGAGGAAGGGCAGUAAGUUAAUACCUUGCUGUUUUGACGUUACCAACAGAAUAAGCACCGACUAACUUCGUG
rnacentral:rRNA from 1 species